GCUGAAAUAGCUCACUUGGGAGUGCGUUAGGCUGCAGUUCUAUAGGUCCCUGGUUCAGUCCCAGGUUUUGGCA